GCCCCACCCCCAACAUAAGUGUCACCUCUCUGUACUGAGACCCAUUGAGUCUCUGAAGAUCUCUUCUCAACAGUAACCUGUAUGAAAUCAUCGUGUGACUUCACAGGAAAUUUGAUCACAGGCUCAGGUGGAAUAAGUCAUAGUUUCCUCUGGGUGCCCAGCCCUGUUCAUGCUGGCUGUGGCUUCAGAACACUGCCCCUCCAGGAGAAACUGCAAGAGAAAACUGUUCAGGAACAUCUUCAGGUGAGGAAACCAAGACAUAAAAUAGUUAAGACCCGAAGUCAAACGUUAACCCUGAAACAAUCUUCAAAG
ensembl:lncRNA